rnacentral:rRNA from 1 species
GACGAACGCUGGCGGCGUGCUUAACACGUGCAAGUCGAACGGUGAAAGCGGAGCUUGCUCCGCUGGAUCAGUGGCGAACGGGUGAGUAACACGUGGGCAACCUGCCCCAGACUUCGGGAUAACUCCUCGAAAGAGGUGCUAAUACCGGAUACGAAGCCCCCAGGCAUCUGGGGGCUUGGAAAGUUUUUCGGUCUGGGAUGGGCCCGCGGCCUAUCAGCUUGUUGGUGAGGUAACGGCUCACCAAGGCGACGACGGGUAGCCGGCCUGAGAGGGCGACCGGCCACACUGGGACUGAGACACGGCCCAGACUCCUACGGGAGGCAGCAGUGGGGAAUAUUGCGCAAUGGGCGGAAGCCUGACGCAGCAACGCCGCGUGAGGGAUGACGGCCUUCGGGUUGUAAACCUCUCUCAGCAGGGAAGAAGCGAAAGUGACGGUACCUGCAGAAGAAGCACCGGCUAACUACGUGCCAGCCGCCGCCGUAA